UUUAAUUAUUUACUUCCUAUCUAGAUAUAAUUCUUUGUGUGUAAAUAGUAAUAUAAACCAAUUAUAAAGAUUAAGAGUGAAACACAAGAAUUCUCUAAAUUUUUCCAAAAUUCUUCAGUUCUACACACGCAAACAAAAUAAAACUGGGGGAACGUGAAAGGAAGAAGCUGCUCAAUAUUUCCGAAGAUGCAGGGUCAAAUAUUUUUUGCUUGCUUACAGGCUUUUUGAUAACCAAUAACUAUGUCCAAUUCUGCAUUUGAUGAGAUGUUCUGUUGCUAGUGGAAGAAGUAUUUAUUAUAGCUGAUGUGUUUUACUCAUUACCCUUCCAAACUGAUGUUUCCUUUUGUGGCAUUACCACUUCAUUUGCUAUUGUGACUUGAGCUCAUGCAAGUUGCUCAUUAUUAAGGAAACAUAGAAUUAUAGGUGAAAGAAUAAACUUCUUGUUUGUGUUUACAUCAAUACUUUAACCUUUUGUGGAUUUUGGAAGAUCUUAGGGAAAAUGCAGCACUACCAUUGCUAGUUUGUACGUCUACCUGUUCAAGUGAAUUGCUCCGUUCAAUUAUUCAGAACUCAGAAGCCCGCACAAGGCAUGAAAACAGCCUGUAUAUGAAUAAAAAAGAGCAAUAAAUGAUGCAAAUGAGAUGCUUUUAGUUAUUCGAUACACUUGUAAUGUUCCACCAUAUUUUGGAUGUCUGAAAAGUUACAGAUAAGACACAGGAAUUUUCUAUGGGUUUCAUUGGGUAAUGGAUGAACUGAGCAACACCAUAGUUUAUUAUUAUCAUUAUUACUAUUAUUAGUGCUUGAAAAGGGAGAAAGGAAGUGUGGAGGAUGUCAACCAUUAAAUUUAAAGUAAGAUGGGUGAAAUGGAGAAUUGCAAGGAGUUAACUAUUUAAUUGCAAAAUACUAGCCAAGUUGAAGGGGAAAUUUUUAGGAUCACAAUUCAUUUGCCAUGACUGAUGACGCAUGGUAAUGAGUGUUGGGUAAGUAAAGAAACAACAAUUUAACAAAAUUAGUGUGCAAAAAAGAAUGACAAUUAAGUAGUCAAGGAAAGCUAGAUUUAGGAAUUAUUUUUGUUUAUACUUUUGUUUAAGUUUUAAUUGUGAAACUAAGAUCUUUAUAUUUUCUAGUGCAAUUCUACUAAAAAGUUUAGAUUUUUAUUACUUAGGGAUUCUUUGUAGUAAGUAGAAGUAUUAGAAUGUCAAUAAUGGUGGUAUAUAUUUUCCUAAUUACCACUAGUUUAGAAUUUACUUUGGGAUUCCUAACCAUGGUAGUAGCAUGAAUUAUUAGUCUAUAAAAUUUAAAUACCUAUGUGGCUUACGUGUUAUCUGGGCUAAUUUGCUAUUCAAAUUAUUUAAAGUUCGAAUCAAAGUUUCAUGCUUCGUGUUUGUGAGUUCAUUUAUGGUUCUAUAUGACUUUGGUAUAUGAAUGCAAUUUUAGGAUGGUGGAAGUGGCUCCUUUGGAGGAAAAGUUGAGAAUAGAGAUAUUGAAAUAAUUUGGACAUUUGCAUUGUAGAUGAACAUAUGUGCUUACAAGGGAAUCUAGGAUGAAGUGGAGGGAAAGAGGGAAAAAGUAUUUGGUGGGCCUAGAUCUUUUCAAAGAUGUAGCCCUAAACCAGGUGGAUAGGAAAAUGAUUUUUAUAGUCAAUCCCAACGCCCAAUUAAUGUGGGAUUGAAGUUCAGUUGAGUCUAGUACUAGAGGCACCAUCUAUAUCUACCAAAAUAAAAUGUAUUUGUUCUUAGGAAAUGCAUACGUAUAUUGUCUUGGCAAAAGUACCCAUGAUGUAUUAUUAUUAUUAUUAUUGUUAUUAUUAUGAUAAUUCCAAGGACAUGGACUGUUCUGUGAAAUUUACAUGAGAAAAGUUAUUGUAGUAAAUGCUGAAUUCUUUGCCAAUGAAGUGAAUUGUAAAUGUCAGUUAAGGUAUCAUAAUAUCAUCAUUGGUGUCUGACCAAAAACAACUGUAAUUGUGAACCUAAAAAUAAAGUGCUCAGAUACUGGCCACUUAUUCCAUUGACCACUGUUUUACAAUGCCUCUUACAUUGGGCAAAGGGCAAUAUUUUCCAAUCCAUCUGAAUUCUACUGUUCAGAGAGAUGUUUCAAGGCCUAGAGUUUUUCUUGUUUCUUACAUUCUUAGCAUAGUAAUUGUGUCCACAUUUACUAACAUCUUGUUGGUCAAUUGUCAACUCAUAAAUUUCUGUUUGGAGGUGAUUUUUGUCAAUAAAUAACUGUUUGUAUGUCUUUUCUGAUACUAACUGAAGAUGCUAUUUGCAUCAGAAAAGCAACACCCAGGAAGCAAUGCUAUAAGCAGGACAACAGCGUUCUAGCAGAGGUAGUUCUUGGCGUUUUUACCCUAGAACGUUUUGGAUUUGCUCUUAAGAUUAUCAAUUAUUGCUUUUUCAUCCAGCAAGUUUUGCUUCUGGCUGGAUGGUGUUAAAUUUGGGUCAGGCCUAACUCAUCCCGAAAGCUAACUCAAGGGGAAGGAUCGCCUAUGGACCAUAUAAGGGGCACAUUACCCCUUUCCACAACCGAUAUGAAAUUCAACACACCCCCACACACCCAGAAUUUUACCAAUGCGUGACAUAUUCAUGGGAGGCCCAAUAUCGGAUGGAUGGGGAGGCUCUGAUACCAUGUUAAAUUUGGGUCAGGCCUAACUCAUCCCAAAAGCUAGCUCAAAGGGGAGGAUUGUCUAUGGACCAUGUAAGGGGCAUAUUACCCCUUUCUACAACCGAUGUGGAUUCAACAGAUGGCUUUCAUGCAGGAUAUUUAUCCAUAACUCAC